rnacentral:tRNA from 1 species
GGUCGUGUAGCUCAGUUGGUUAGAGCGCAGCAUUCAUAAUGCUGAUGUCGUAGGUUCAAGUCCCACCCCGACCACCA